GAUGAACGCUGGCGGCGUGCCUAAUACAUGCAAGUCGAGCGAAUGGAUUAAGAGCUUGCUCUUAUGAAGUUAGCGGCGGACGGGUGAGUAACACGUGGGUAACCUGCCCAUAAGACUGGGAUAACUCCGGGAAACCGGGGCUAAUACCGGAUAACAUUUUGAACCGCAUGGUUCGAAAUUGAAAGGCGGCUUCGGCUGUCACUUAUGGAUGGACCCGCGUCGCAUUAGCUAGUUGGGGAGGUAACGGCUCACCAAGGCCACGAUGCGUAGCCGACCUGGGAGGGUGAUCGGCCACACUGGGACUGAGACACGGCCCAAACUCCUACGGGAGGCAGCAGUAGGGAACCUUCCGCAAUGGACGAAAGUCUGACGGAGCAACGCCGCGCGAGUGAUGAAGGCUUUCGGGUCGUAAAACUCUGUUGUUAGGGAAGAACAAGUGCUAGUUGAAUAAGCUGACACCUUGACGGUACCUAACCAGAAAGCCACGGCUAACUACGUGCCAGCCGCCGCGGUAA
rnacentral:rRNA from 1 species